rnacentral:lncRNA from 1 species
AGUCUCUCCGUUUCAGAGGUGUAGGGCCUUUGUGGAGCCUUCUCAAUAAAAUAAUUUGCCACUCUUGAAGUCAUAGGUUAGCUUUUCAAGACACUUCCUGCAUCUCUGACCUGUUGCACCUCUGUUAUCUUGGCACCUCUGUUAUCUUAGCAGCAAGCACCUGCCUCAGCUGACCCUUGAGCCAUAACCCAUAAGCUCCUGAAAAGUACAUCAAGUCUAAAGUGAACCAGCUAACUCAUUAAGACUGGAAUCAUGAGCAACAAUGGAGCAGACCUAACCUUUGGUUACAUCUCCUGUUUUGUAGCUAUCCUUUUGUUUGGCUCAAAUUUUGUGCCACUUAAAAAAUUUGAUACUGGUGAUGGAAUGUUUCUCCAGUGGGUUCUUUGUGCUGCCAUAUGGUUGGUUGCCUUGGUUGUCAAUCUGAUAUUACAUUGUCCAAAGUUUUGGCCUUUUGCAAUGCUUGGGGGCUGCAUUUGGGCAACAGGGAACAUUGCUGUUGUCCCAAUUAUCAAAACCAUUGGUUUA